rnacentral:rRNA from 1 species
CCUACGGGAGGCAGCAGUGAGGAAUAUUGGGCAAUGGAGGCAAAUCUGAUCCAGCCAUGCCGCGUGCAGGAAGACUGCCCUAUGGGUUGUAAACUGCUUUUAUACGGGAGAAAACCCCCCUACUUGUACCAGUCUGACGGUACCGUACGAAUAAACACCGGCUAACUCCGUGCCAGCAGCCGCGGUAAU